UACGGGAGGCAGCAGUGGGGAAUAUUGCACAAUGGGCGCAAGCCUGAUGCAGCCAUGCCGCGUGUAUGAAAAAGGCCUUCGGGUUGUAAAGUACUUUCAGUCGUGAGGAAGGUGUUAAGGUUAAUAACCUUAGCAAUUGACGUUAGCGACAGAAGAAGCACCGGCUAACUCCGCGCCAGCAGCCGCGGUAAUACGGAGGGUGCGAGCGUUAAUCGGAAUUACUGGGCGUAAAGGGCACGCAGGCGGUUAAUUAAGUUGGAUGUGAAAUCCCCGGGCUUAACCUGGGAAUGGCAUUCAAGACUGGUUAGCUAGAGUCUUGUAGAGGGGGUAGAAUUCCAUGUGUAGCGGUGAAAUGCGUAGAGAUGUGGAGGAAUACCGGUGGCGAAGGCGGCCCCUGGACAAAGACUGACGCUCAUGUGCGAAAGCGUGGGGAGCAAAC
rnacentral:rRNA from 1 species